rnacentral:rRNA from 1 species
CCUACGUGUGGCAGCAGUAGGGAAUAUUGCUCAAUGGGGGAAACCCUGAAGCAGCAACGCCGCGUGGAGGAUGAAGGUUCUCGGAUUGUAAACUCCUUUUGUUAGAGAAGAUAAUGACGGUACCUAACGAAUAAGCACCGGCUAACUCCGUGCCAGCAGCCGCGGUAAUACGGAGGGUGCAAGCGUUACUCGGUAUCACUGGGCGUAAAGCGUGCGUAGGCGGGAUGGCAAGUCAGUUGUGAAAUCCUAUGGCUUAACCCUAGAACUGCAUUUGAAACUGGUAUUCUAGAGUAUGGGAGAGGUAGGUGGAAUUCGUGGUGUAGGGGUGAAAUGCGUAGAGAUCAAGAGGAAUACUCAUUGCGAAGGCAGCCUGCUAGAACAUAACUGACGCUGAUGCGCGAAAGCGUGGGGAGCGAACAGGAUUAGAUACCCCUGUAGUC